rnacentral:misc_RNA from 1 species
UCCUCUCUCAAACCUCGGGUUUGGUGUUGGACCCAAGUUGGUUGGUCGACCAACUGGUCUCAAAGACAAUGACGGCGUCCGUGGGACCCUCUUCGCAACGAGCUUUUCGGAGCACGCGUCGAGUUUCAAGGACCCUCCGGGCCGGUCUCCCCUAAAUUACUUCUAA